rnacentral:rRNA from 1 species
CUUGGUGGUUAUGGCGUCAGUGUCCCACCCGAUCCCAUCCCGAACUCGGCCGUGAAACCUGACAGCGCCGAUGGUACUGCGUCUUAAGGCGCGGAAGAGUAGGUCGCCGCCAGGC